rnacentral:rRNA from 1 species
CACAUUCAAAGAGUGCGUAAUAGCUCACUAGUCGAGAGGUCCUGCGCCGAAAAUUUCCGGGGCUAAAACACGAUACCGAAGCUUAGGAAUGUAGCAAUACAUUGGUAGAGGAGCAAUCUCAGAGUGCCGAAGCGUUACCGUAAGGAAGCGUGGAGUUCUGAGAAGAGAGAAUGCCGGAAUGAGUAGCGAGAAUGAUGUGAGAAUCAUCAUGGCCGAAUAUCCAAGGAUUCCAGGGUAAAGCUGAUCUGCCCUGGGUAAGUCGGGACCUAAGGCGAGGGAGAAAUCCGUAGUCGAUGGACAGCAGGUUCAUAUUCCUGCACCUGACAUGAUCAGAACUGUGGGGACACAGGAACAAAACCGGACCCGGGAGAGCAAAGACCGGGCGAAGCGAAGAUAGGAGUGCGGUAGGCAAAUCCGCCGCACAAUCCGAAAGCGUGAUAGGGAGCGAAAAAUAAGUAGCGAAGCCGGUGGAGGGACUGUCGAGAAAAGCCGCUAUUGUAUCAUGUCAGCCCGUACCGCAAACCGACACAGGUGGAUGAGGAGAGAAUCCUAAGGCCGGCGGGAGAAGCAUUGUUAAGGAACUCGGCAAAAUGACCCCGUAACUUCGGGAGAAGGGGUGCUGCAGAGAUGCAGCCGCAGAGAAAAGGCUCAAGCAACUGUUUAGCAAAAACACAGGUCUAUGCGAAACCGUAAGGUGAGGUAUAUGGGCUGACGCCUGCCCGGUGCUGGAAGGUUAAGAGGAGAGGUUAGCGCAAGCGAAGCUUUGAAUUUAAGCCCCAGUAAACGGCGGCCGUAACUAUAACGGUCCUAAGGUAGCGAAAUUCCUUGUCGGGUAAGUUCCGACCCGCACGAAAGGCGUAAUGAUUUGAGCGCUGUCUCAACAAUGCACCCGGUGAAAUUGAAGUACCAGUGAAGAUGCUGGUGACCUGCGCCAGGACGGAAAGACCCCAUGGAGCUUUACUCCAGCUUGAUACCGGGAUUCGGUGUUACUCGUACAGGAUAGGUGGGAGGCUAAGAAGGAAGGACGCCAGUCUUUCCGGAGCCGCUGUUGGGAUACCACCCCUGUGGCACUGGAUUUCUAACCUACAUCCGUAAUCCGGAUGGGGGACAAUGUCAGGUGGGGAGUUUGACUGGGGCGGUCGCCUCCGAAAGAGUAUCGGAGGCGCUCAAAGGUUCCCUCAGAAUGGUUGGAAACCAUUCGAAGAGCGCAAAGGCAGAAGGGAGCUUGACUGCGACACCGACGGGUGGAGCAGGUACGAAAGUAGGACUUAGUGAUCCGGUGGUAUAAAGUGGGAUUGCCAUCGCUCAACGGAUAAAAGCUACCCUGGGGAUAACAGGCUUAUCACUCCCAAGAGUUCACAUCGACGGAGUGGUUUGGCACCUCGAUGUCGGCUCAUCGCAUCCUGGGGCUG